rnacentral:lncRNA from 1 species
GGCAGCGCACUCAGGGGCAGCUGGAAGCAGUGGAGGGGCGACCUGGUGGGGAGGCAUAGGUCCCACAGCCCCAAGCCCCGACAAGAGUGCCUGGGGCUCGUCCCUCGAGGCUGCCUCGGGCGCCAGCGAAGGCCUUGGCGAAGGCUGACCCCAACGAGACACGGGCGGGACAGAGAACAGUCAUUCUGGCCUGAGCCGGGGAACUGUGUGUGGAGACCAUUGCAAAAGAUGCCUACUGCUGUGCUCAACAGGGAAACAGGAAAACCCUCCAGAGGAGAGAUUUGGAUAAUGCGAUAGAAGCUGUGGAUGAAUCUGCUUUUUUGGAAGGUACUUCGGGUCGA